rnacentral:lncRNA from 1 species
CUACCCAAAGGAGGUCCCUACAAACAAGUGCAAGAACAAUCCGCGCUGAUCACUGCCCUCCCAGGCAAGCGAGGAGUGGGGAAGUAACGUUUGAUGAGGGCCUACUGUGUGCUAGGUGUUUUGCACACAUUAUUUGUUUAGGCUUCAUAACAGCCCUACAAGAAAGAGAUGGAAAACUUCGAAGCCCCUUUCCACUGCCUUGCCAAGCAGUUCCACCAGCUGUACCGGGAGAAGGUGGAGGUUUUCCGGGCCCUGGCAUGACGAGCUGGAGCAGAUCGUGCUGCACAACCGGAGAAGACAGAAUUACCUCUGCUCUUUUAAUAUAUAAUGAUGGCUUUAAAUAAAAUUAGGAGAAAAUGUC